rnacentral:lncRNA from 1 species
UUGUAUCUUGGGAGUCGAUUGCCGAAAUCCGUAAGCACCGUAGCGGGGCAAAUUCGACUUAAGGACAAAGAGUCCAACUCUUGCCUCGACUUUAUCCCUAUCUUUAUACUUAUUUUUGGCGUCUCUAUUCACAAAAUUCUUCCAACAAAAAUAAAUAUCAAAGAUACAUGUGAAAAAAAAAAAAAAAUCAGAAGUAAAAAUUGAUUCUCAACAAUCUAGGGUAAAAUUCUCCAACAAAAAUGACAAAAUUUCAACUCCUCCAUGUCAAUAAAUCUGGUGCUACUUAGCUAGCAGCUGGAGAUGCUCUAGCAUGUGGCGGCGAAGCCAUGGAUGUAAGAGUACUUGGACUGGAGGCAAGAAUAUCGACUGAGGUGCGUCCGGAGAUCCAAAAUCUUCAAACAACGAAAAAUAGUAGAUGGAGGUGCUGUUGGAAGAACGGCGUACUUCCGAUUUACGUGCAGCCAGAAUGGUGAGGUGUGGGUAGAGGUUUUGAAGGUGUCGAUUUUGAUUUCGCCGAAACAUAUUCUGUGGGUGGUGGGUUUUCCAAUUGGGGAAAGCAAUUCUGUUGGGUUUUUUAAGUUUCUAGAAUUUUUUACCUAUUAUUAUUUUAUUUUUUUGAAUGCCACGUAAGCCAGGAACUGCCCUGGAACUGGAUUGUCCGUGUAGCGCGAUUGUUCUCAAAAUCCCAUUUUAGUCCUCUCGAUUGAAGAUUCCAUGGUACAUUUUAGGAAUCAUAGUGUUUGAAUGAAGAUUAUUGACUUCUACAAGAAGACUUUCUUUUUAGGGAGAUGAGCAAAGAGUUAGAAUAUUGAG